rnacentral:pre_miRNA from 1 species
CCACUUAUGAUUCGGGUUUCGAGAUAAUGUAACCGUGACAAUCUGGUUCGUUGUCGACGAAACCUGCAAAAUAAGCGG